rnacentral:SRP_RNA from 1 species
GCUGGGCAUGAAGAGGCAUACCUGUAAUCUUAGCUACCAAGAAGGCUAAGACCGGUGGAUCUCGAGCUCAGGAGUUAUGAGCUACAUUGGACUAUCUGCCAAUCAGAUGUCCGCACUAAGUUUGGCAUUAAUGUGGUGAGUGCUUGGAAGCAGGGAGCCACCAGGUUGCCUAAGGAAGGGUGAAUCGAUCUGGGCUGGAAACAGGUCAACACUCCUACACUGAUCAGUAGAGGAAUCAGGCCACGAGGAGCCCCUUCUCUUCUAACUUGGACAAGAGCAAGAGUCCCCU